CUCGUUGGUGACAGCGGAGGGACAUUACCGAGUUUACAACUCCCAAACCCCUGUGAACAUACCUUACUGUUGCCUCGGCGGAUCAGCCCGCUCCCGGUAAAACGGGACGGCCCGCCAGAGGACCCCUAAACUCUGUUUCUAUAUGUAACUUCUGAGUAAAACCAUAAAUAAAUCAAAACUUUCAACAACGGAUCUCUUGGUUCUGGCAUCGAUGAAGAACGCAGCAAAAUGCGAUAAGUAAUGUGAAUUGCAGAAUUCAGUGAAUCAUCGAAUCUUUGAACGCACAUUGCGCCCGCCAGUAUUCUGGCGGGCAUGCCUGUUCGAGCGUCAUUUCAACCCUCAAGCCCUCGGGUUUGGUGUUGGGGAUCGGCGAGCCUUUCUGGCAAGCCGGCCCCGAAAUCUAGUGGCGGUCUCGCUGCAGCCUCCAUUGCGUAGUAGUAAAACCCUCGCAACUGGAACGCGGCGCGGCCAAGCCGUUAAACCCCCAACUUCUGAAUGUUGACCUCGGAUCAGGUAGGAAUACCCGCUGAACUUAAGCAUAUCA
rnacentral:rRNA from 1 species